rnacentral:tRNA from 1 species
UUUACUUUAGUGUAAAGAGCACCUAAAAUUUUGAUUUUUAAAGUAGAUUAUUAAGUAAUU